GAUGAAGAACGUAGUGAAAUGCGAUAAGUAAUGUGAAUUGCAGAAUUCAGUGAAUCAUCGAAUCUUUGAACGCACCUUGCGCUCCUUGGCAUUCCGAGGAGCAUGCCUGUUGAGUGUCAUUAAAUUCUCAAGACCUGUCUGCUUUUUUGAUAGGUAUUGGAUUUUGGGGGUUGCAGGCUGUUUCAAAUAAAUAGCCUUGCUCUCCUUGAAUGUAUUAGUGGAGAAAAGCCAUUGAACUCCAUUGGUGUGAUAAAACCUAUCAAUGCCAGGAGCAAUAUCACUACUUCUCUCUGCUGUCUAACUGUGACUGUCUGUAUUAAUUAGUAUGGAUGGGGACAACUUGACCAACUUGACCUCAAAUCAGGUAGGACUACCCGCUGAACUUAAGCAUAUCAAUAAGCGGAGGA
rnacentral:misc_RNA from 1 species